CCCAAGAAAUCAAAAAGGUAAGGGAGACACAAUCCUUACCUUACUUAUAGUGAAAGAAGCAAGCUUAGCUUUCAUAGUUAGAGCAUGGUAGUUCUUAGGAGAUUAAUUCGUUUAGGGUAAAAGAGCUCUUCUUCUUUGAGUUGAUCCUUUAUCUUAACUUAGUUACCUGGCGAAUUGAAACAUCUUAGUAGCCAGAGGAAAAGAAAGCAAAAGCAAUUCUCGUAGUAGCGGUGAGCAAAAUGGGAGCAGCCUAAACCGUGAAAAUGGGAUUGUGAGAGAGCAAGACAAUUGUCGUGCUACUAGGCGAAGUGGUGGAGUGCUGCACCCUAGAUGGCAAGAGUCUAGUAGCCAAAAGCAUUAUUAGCUUAUGCUCUAACCCAAGUAGCAUGGGACAUGUCGAAUCCCAUGUGAAUCAACAAUGACCACUUUGCAAGCUAAAUACUCCUGGGUGACUGAUAGUGAAGUAGUACUAUGAGGGAAGGGUGAAAAGAAUCCUCAUCGGGGAGUGAAAUAGAACAUGAAAACGUAAGCUUCCAAGUAGUGGGAAGAGCCCUGGGCUUUGACCACGUGAUUGUUGAAGAAUAAGUCGGCGACUCAUAAGCAGUGGCUUAGUUAAGGGAACCCACCGAAGCCGUAGCAAAAGCGAGUCUUCAGAGGAAAAUUGUCACUGCUUAUGGACCCAAACCUGGGUGAUCUAUCCAUGACCAUGAUGAAGCUUGGGUAAAACUAAGUGGAGGUUCAAACCGGCUGAUGUUGAAGAAUCAGUGAAUGAGUUGUGGUUAAAGGUGAAAUGCCACUCGAACACAGAGCUAGCUGGUUCUCCCCUAAAUGUGUUGAGAUGCAGUAGUUGAAUGAACAUUUAAGGGUAAAGCACUAUUUUGGUGCAAGCCAUGAGAGGGGUACCAAAUCGAGGUAAACUCUGAAUUCUAGGUAUGACCUCAAAAUAAUAGGGAUCAAGGUCGUUCAGUGAGGCAGUGGGGGAUAAGCUUCAUCAUCGAGAGAGAAACAGCCCGGAUCACCUGCUAUGGCCCCUAAAUGACUACUCAGUGAUAAAGGAGGUAGGGGUGUAGAGAUAGCCAGAAGGUUUGCCUAGAAGCAACCACCCUUGAAAUAGUGCAUAAUAGCUCGUUGAUUGAGCACUCUUGAGCCAAAGAUGAACAGUAGGGAGCGUUCCGCCUAGAGGGAAGCAACCGAGCAAGCAGGGGUGGACGAAGCGGAAGCGAGAAUGUUGUCUUGAGUAAUGCAAACAUUAGUAAGAAUUCAAUGCCCCGAAAAUCCACGAAGGGUGAGUCAGAGCCUAAGAUUAGGCUGAAAGACGUAGUCGAUGGACAAUAAGUGAAUAUUUUUGUACUACCCCUUGUUGGUCCCGAGGGACGGAUGAGGCUAGGUUAGCCGAAAGAUGGUUAUCGAUUCAAGGACGCAAGGUGCCCCCAAUUUUUCAGGAUAAGAAGGGGUAGAGAAAAUGCCUUGAACCAAUGUUUGAGUACCAGGCGUCUCGACGCUGAAGUAACCCAUGCCAUACUCCCAAGCUAAGCUCGAAAGACCUUCAAAAAAGGGGUACUUGUACCCAAAAUCGACACAGUUGGGUAGGUAGAGAAUACAUAGGAGUGAAAGACAACUCUCUCUAAGAAACUCGGAAAAAUAGCCCCGUAACUUGGGGAGAAAGGGUACCUCCUCACAAAGGAGGUCGUAGUGACCAGACCUGGGUGACUAGUUACCAAAAACACAGGUCUUCGUAAAGUCGUAAGACCAUGUAUGGGGGCUAACGCCUUCCAGUGUCUGGAUGUCAAGAAAGUUGGUGACCUGAUGGCAGGGAAUCGGCGAUCGAAGCCCCGAUGAAUGGCGGCCAUAACUAUAAUGGUCCUAAGGUAGCGAAAUUCCUUGUCGAGUAAGUCCUGACCCUCACGAAAUAUGGGCACUGUCUUAGAGAAAGGCUUGGUGAAAUAGACAUGUCUGCGAAGGUGCGAACUACCUGCACCUAGACAAAAAGAUCCUAUGAAGCUUCACUCUUCUNNNNNNNNNNNNNNNNNNNNGGGGAAUCAGUGAGAUACAACUUUGGAAGAGCUAGAAUUCUAACCUUGUGUCAUGACCUACGGGCCAAGGGACAUUCUCAAGUAGACAGUUUCUAUGGGUCAUAGGCCUCCAAAAAGGUAACAAAGGCGUGCAAAGGUUUCCUCGGGCCAAAUGAAGAUUGGUCCUCGAGUGCAAAGGAAGAAGGGAGCUUGACUGCAAGAUCUACCCAUUGAGCAGGGACGAAAGUCGACCUUAGUGAUUUAAUGGUGCCGAGUGGAAGGGUCGUCACUCAACAUAUAAAAGUUACUCUAGGGAUAAUAGGUUGAUCGUCCUUAAGAACUCACAUUGACAGGAAGGUUUGGAACCUUGAUGUUGGCUCUUCACCACCUGGGGAUGUAGUAUGUUCUAAGGAUUGAGUUGUUCGCCCAUUAAAGCGGUACGUGAGCUAGGUUUAGAACGUCGUGAGAAAGUUUGGUCCAUAUCUGGUAUGGGCGUUAGAUCAUUGAGGGGACCUUUCCCUAGUACGAGAGGACCGGGAAGGACGCACCUCUGGUGUACCAGUUAUCGUGCCCACAGUAAACGCUGGGUAGCCAAGUGUGAAGAGCGGAUAACUGGUAAAACCAUCUAAGUAGUAAGUCCACGCAAAGAUGAGUACUAUCCUAUUCUGACUUCCCCAAAGCCUACGGUAGCACAGCUAAGACCACGAUAGGUUUUCUGCUUCCGCGGGGGUGGAGCUACAGAAGUCUUGAGAAUCCAAGAGAAGGUCAUGGCAAGACGAGUCGUUUAUCAUUACGAUAGGUGUCAAAUAUAAGUGCAAUGAUGUAUGAAGCUAAGGCAUCCUAAGAGACCGGUAGACUUCAAC
rnacentral:rRNA from 1 species